AAGCUAAUCCAUCUGCAGAGUUUCCAUUCCCUCCCAGGUCAGCUGACGGGGCAAGAGGCCUGGCCCAGAACCCGCUGAGAUGCAUAUGGUGCACGGUGCACUUCCUCCUUGUUUCAAGACGGUUCCUCCCCUGCAGUUUCUGCCCCCGUGGGGUCAUGCACCACAUGCUACAAAUAGUUUCAUUUUUUUUUAAAUUUCGUGGAGAGUUUAUAAGGAUUACCUCUGGGAUGUUCCGGCCGCGAGAAACCACUGUGCAAUUGUGAGAAGUGAUAUUCGAUCGUUAAAAGCGACUCUAAGGAAUCAAGUAGCCAAGACGAGAAUUUUGCUCAAGAUUUUGCCCCAGCGUGUAUUUCUGUGUCGAAAACUUUCGAUGGCAUUGCGUAACGUGGUUCCUUUUUCGGGAUUAUUUCGAGAUCCACGGGUGUGGGGAAGGAGGAAGCAUCCGUGGGUGGUCACUGGGGAAGAUUCAUGCCGUUAAUCCUUUCUCUGCAUUCCGCGGAACUGAGAAGCAAGGGAAGCUGCAAAAAUAUUUUGACAUCCCGAAAGCUGGUUCCUGUUCAUGUAUCUCUCGCUGUUGAAGAAAAAGAAGGGAAAAAAGAAAAAGAAAGUCAAGUCUGUCCUGAAACCCACCCUGGAUUUAGAAACAGAACAUCUUCUGGGAGUAUUAUUCAUCUCCCGACCAUCGGACAAUGUUGGUGAUUCAUCACACUGGAUCGGGUUUUUUUUUUUUUUUCAUAUUUUUACGAAAGGACAUUAUUGAAUCUGUGCCUUUUGGGGGACAUUUCCUGAGUUCCAUGUGUUUGUUCUGGGUGCUGAGCAAGACUUUCUGGGCCCCACCAAGAGGCCUUCUCUUCCAUCUGUCAUGGUGCCGCACCUGCCCCUCCUGAACGGCUGGCUGGUCCCUCCUCUCCAUUCCCCUGAUCUUAAGUUUUACUUUUCUUGAGCUCAAAAGGAUGAGGUUGAAAGUUUACCUUUCCAGCUGGCAAAUGGCUUACACAAUUCCACGGGAAGGUUGUUGGCGACGGAGAGAGGCCAUAAUUUCUCCAGAAUGCUCCUUUGUAGCAGAGACUGGAGUCCAUAUGGAGUCGGGAACUCAGCUGGCCUCUGACCUGAGGGAUGAUCCUUUGGAUGGAUUCAGAUGUGUGCAUCUCCGAGUCAACGAACCGGGGGCUGGAAGGGAUGCCUCUCUGUGUGGCGUCAGGAGCAGCCUACAGACAUUUUGCUCCCCUAGCACCCCAAAGCCAGCCGCGUGGCAGCCGUGGGCAAAUGCAGGUGUGUUUGGAGGGAAUGACUGAUUCCUUUGAAUUAUUUUAUCGCUGAAAAUUAUUUUAUCACUGGGAACUGCAUGCACGUUUUCUCGGGCUUUCUCUGCUUGAUUUUGAGCUGCAUUCCUUAGGGUUCAUUGAAAGGUACAGCUGGGUGAUGAUGGAUGUCUCGCUGUGUUUUUCAUGUAAAAUGGUCCUCUUUUUUUUGCUUUACUUUCUAACCCCUGUAGGUAUAAUGUAUUCCACCUGUCUGUGCAUUUAUGGAACUGUGAUAGCAUUAGCAAAGGAAUAUCCCCAAAUGGGUUGAUGUGUUUUUUUUCUCAUCUCCCUCACCAAGCAACUGUAGUCACCAUGGGCUAAUUAUAUGACAUGCUUAUGCUCCCUCGCAGGGACGAUCAAUGAAAAUCAACCAAUGGGAACACUUCCAUGCAUAGACAUCUGUUUUCAGCAUACUCCCCUAUUUUUUUAAAGGAUUUUAUGUAUUUAUUUGACAAACACAGAGAGAGAAAACCCAAGUGGGACGAGCAGCAACAGAAGAGGGAGAAGCAGACUCCCUGUGGAGCAGGGAACCCAAUGCGGGGCUCGAUCCCAGGACUCCGGGAUCAUGACCUGAGCCGAAGGCAGAUGCUUCACCGACGGAGCCGCCCAUGCACCCCUAUACUUCCCUAUUUUAAACAUUUAAAAAAUAAAC